ACCAAUUUUCCAGUGUCUGCCUGCCUACGAACCAGCAAUACCCAUUAAAAUAAAAGCAGCCCAGGUUCGACCACCAACAAAGUUUGCCUUGCUGGGAACAAGCACAGAUGACAGAUUCAAUUCCGAUGACUCUCUAUGAAGGGGAAUAAACAGUCAAAGUUUUGGAUUGAGAACCCUCAUCAGAACUGACGGAGAGUCUCAGCUUGAAAUGUCGACUGCUUAUUCUUCUCCAUUGAUGCUGCUUCUGUCUUGCUGUAUCUGCAGAAUCCCUUGUGUUCAGGUGACUUUCUGCCAGCUUUAGCUCAGCGAGCCUCACUCAGUAGGAUGUCCUUCUUUGAAAACAGAGCCUUAGAGUUAUAGGUAAGUUACUCCAUCUGUAGCGUGUUGUGGAGUGGAAGAUGUGGGCUGGCCACCAUGCCACUAAAAUACUCAAAAAGCAGAGUAGUAUAACCAGGAGUCAAAGCUAAUGUAAAAACAAAAGAGAGGACUUACAACAAAGCAAAAAUGAGCAGGAAAAUAGGGGACCAGGAAGCUUUUAAAACCUAUGAAAGCAACUAAAAGGAUCAUUAGGAAUGAAAAAAUGAAAUAUGAAAGCAAGCUAGUAAACAAUAUCAAAGUGGAUAGAAAAAGCUUGUUCAUACAAUAUAUAUAAAAUAUAAAAGAGAGAUGAGAGUGAAUAUAGGUGCACUAGAAAAUGAAGCCAAAGAAAUAAAAAUGGGGGACAAGGAGAUGGCAGAUGAACUAAAUGAGUAUUUUGCAUCAGUCUUUACUGUAGAGGACACUUGAAGUGUGCCAGGUGUUGAAGGGUGUGAGGGAAAGAGGUGAGUACAGUCCACUACAAGGGAGAAGGUGUUCAAAAAGCUGAAAGACCUGUUACAAAUGAUGAACAACUCUGAUGGGCAGAAGGGUACAGAAUCGUCAAUGCCCCCCCCCCCUUUGGAGAAUCACAAAUCGCUACUAUUCCGAUGCUGUUAUCAAGGGAGAUGAGAGAGACACAGGAAAGCUGCCAAGACAGUUGUUAUUGAUAACAGUUCAAACAAAUUAAUGAGAGAGAGGCACAGCUAAGGUGGAAUGUCUCCAGCUAACAAAAAGAAUGGAACCAUUGAUUACUGCUAUUGUCUUUUGGAGAAGGUAUGUGUACUUGGUACCGGUCUAUUCAUUGAAACCCCUCGGGGGGCAACCAGAGUGGGCUGAUUUGAUGGGUUUCAUCAUCUCAAACUGAUUGACACCUGAGACCCCGUGAGUGGGGAUAAAAGUGAGGUCUGGGGAACACCUCUCAGACACACCAGGAGAGAUGCUACGAGACCAGUAGGGGCUUGUGUGUGUGUCCACCUUUGCCUGGGUGAUGAGUCCACCACGGAAGAACGGUCCAGCUAAAGGACGGAGGGGUCAUACGUGAAUGGCCACAGCAACAACGCAUCGAUGGAUCAAAAAUCGUAAAGGAAAAUUGAAAUCUCCUAUUGCAAUGCCAAUGGGGAAGAAUGAAUCUCCAGCACAUCUGGCAAUGCUCACGGGAAAAUGACAUGGCUUCACAAGCAAGACAAAGCAAGAACUGCAUCCCAUCUCAUCAAACACUGAGGUGGCAGGGAAACAGCAGAUCUCAGGGACCUUAGAAUGCUUGCUGAUUUUGCUAACAGUCGGUGGUAUACACAUGGAUCUGUUGAAACAACAAACAAGGACCUGUAUGCCCUCUCAGGUGGAUCAAUAGAACGAUUUUGAAGAUGUGCAAUAUUUAGUCCUUUACCAAUGCGGCUGAAGAAUAAAUUAUUCGGCGUGGAGAUGCAGCAUCACAGUGCACCGAUCAACUGUCUUAUUAGGCUAGAAGAGGGAGAUCCAGAGGUCAGAAAGAUGCUUUGCAUCAACUUGUGAAGUUCAGUCUACUGCUCUGUAUGGCAUGAACUUCAAAAACUGAUACCAUACAAUGAA